GAUGAACGCUGGCUGCGUGCCUAAUACAUGCAAGUCGAGCGAAGCGGGGACGGGUGAGUAACACGUGGAUAACCUCCUAUCCGACUGUGAUAACUUCGGGAAACCGGAGCUAAUCCGGCCACUUGUAGGUGGAUCCGCCCUGCAUUAGUUUGUUGGGAGGGUCAGGGCUUACCAAGGCAAAGAUGCAUAGCCGAGCUGAGAGGGGGAUAGGCCACACUGGAACUGAGACACGGUCCAGACUCCUACGGGAGGCGGCAGUAGGGAAUCGGCCGCAAGGGGCGAAAGCCUGACGGAGCAACGCCGCGUGAGUGAGGAAGGUCUUCGGAUCGUAAAACUCUGUUAUUAGGGAAGCGGUACCUAAUCAGAAAGCAACGGCUAACUACGUGCCAGCAGCCGCGGUAAUAC
rnacentral:rRNA from 1 species